UACGGAGGGUGCGAGCGUUGUCCGGAAUCACUGGGCGUAAAGGGCGCGUAGGCGGCUCGGUAAGGAGGGGGUGAAAUCCUGCGGCUUAACCGCAGGGCUGCCUUCUAAACUGUCGAGCUCGAGCACGGUAGAGGCAGAUGGAAUUCCCGGUGUAGCGGUGGAAUGCGUAGAGAUCGGGAAGAACAUCAGUGGCGAAGGCGGUCUGCUGGGCCGUUGCUGACGCUGAGGCGCGACAGCGUGGGGAGCAAACAGG
rnacentral:rRNA from 1 species